CUAGGGCUAAACAUAUAUCGAGAGAGAGCCAUACAAACCGAGUCAGAAAAAAGCCCAUUUCAGAGAGAGAGAUGAUACCAGUACCGGUGGGAGAAGAAGUCGGCCCGAAACUCGCUCGACUUCUGUACUUCGUCGGCGCCGGAUGUAUGUAUUUAACAUUCUGAACGAAUUUCUUCAAUUUUUAUUUUGGUGGUCUUAAAUCAUAUGUAUCCGCUCGGAAAAAUCAUGCCCUUUUUUAUUGCAGUUUUGUGCACUGCUGCGAUUAACAAGUGGAGAGAUUGGGAAAGAAAGUCUACGAUUCAAAAGCAACAACAGUUUAAUGGUCAAACACUGAAAAAUCAAUCAAAUGGGGUACAAAAAGCUAUUGAAUAAAAACGAUCCCCCCCCCAUCCCACUUUUUUCUCUUUUUGAUGAGGGGGUUCUUGAUUUUCAAUAGGCCGUUGCUGUUAAAUAAACAAUUUGAUGAUUAUUCAGGUGGACAAAUUUUUCAAUGUAGUAAGUGGAUUUAGACUGUACAUGGUUUCUUCUUGUUUCUGAUGUAUGGACCAAAUUGUUUAGGAUUUCGUGAUUACAAAAGAAAAAAAAAUGGUUUGUUACUAUUGUGUUAUAGUUUAUGGAUUGCAUAAAACCUGUAAGAGAAACCUUUUGGUAUAGAAGAUAAUGUGAUCUAUUCACUGUGGAUAUGGUGAACUUCAUUACUACAUUUUUUUUAGCAAUGCA
rnacentral:lncRNA from 1 species